rnacentral:tRNA from 1 species
GAUCAAUUGGCGCAGUGGCAGCGCGCGUCUGCAAGAUGGAUGAGACGCAGGUUCAAUUCCUACAUUGAUCA